CCCAGACUCCUACGGGAGGCAGCAGUGGGGGAUAUUGCACAAUGGGGGAAACCCUGAUGCAGCAACGCCGCGUGAGUGAAGAAGUAUUUCGGUAUGUAAAGCUCUAUCAGCAGGGAAGAGAAUGACGGUACCUGACUAAGAAGCCCCGGCUAACUACGUGCCAGCAGCCGCGGUAAUACGUAGGGGGCGAGCGUUAUCCGGAUUUACUGGGUGUAAAGGGAGCGUAGACGGCUGGUCAAGUCUGAAGUGAAAGCCCGGGGCUUAACCCCGGAACGGCUUUGGAAACUGAGCAGCUAGAGUGCUGGAGAGGUAAGCGGAAUCCCUAGUGUAGCGGUGAAAUGCGUAGAUAUUAGGAGGAACACCAGUGGCGAAGGCGGCUUACUGGACAGUAACUGACGUUGAGGCUCGAAAGCGUGGGGAGCAAACAGGAUUAGAUACCCGCGUACC
rnacentral:rRNA from 1 species